UACGUAGGGGGCAAGCGUUAUCCGGAUUUACUGGGUGUGAAGGGAGCGUAGACGGCGGUGCAAGCCAGAUGUGAAAGCCCGGGGCUCAACCCCGGGACUGCAUUUGGAACUGUGCCGCUAGAGUGUCGGAGAGGCAGGCGGAAUUCCUAGUGUAGCGGUGAAAUGCGUAGAUAUUAGGAGGAACACCAGUGGCGAAGGCGGCCUGCUGGACGAUGACUGACGUUGAGGCUCGAAAGCGUGGGGAGCAAACAGG
rnacentral:rRNA from 1 species